rnacentral:lncRNA from 1 species
CUGCCUUGGUGAUCUCAUGGGAAGUGUGUGUGCAAGGUGUGUGUGUCUAUGUGCAAGGUGUGUGUGUGUGUGUUUGUGUGUAUGUGUGUAUGUACAGUAUAUGUGCAUCAGGUGGUGUUGCAGCGCCUCAUUGGACAGAGGCAGCAUGCACUCGGACCUGAGCAGCAGGAGGACAGCGACUAAUGAUCCAAACUGGCAUCUGCCACCUAAGUUAUAAGCAGAUCUUUAUCUCUCUCCGUUUCUCUCCGUACACGUGACAUGUCCAAAAUAUUAUUCCGUCCUCGAACACUUUCUGUUUUCUCGUACAUUUCAUGGAUUAUAAUUGAUAUAAUAGGAAAUACAAAUACGCCUAUUUUAGUAGUUUAAAAAUGAAAUAAGGAUAUCCAGGUGAUACAUAGAUAUAAAGGGCUGAAUGAAGGAUAUCCAGGUGAUACCUAGAUAUAAAGGGCUGGAUGAAGGAUAUCCAGGUGAUACAUAGAUAUAAAGGGCUGGAUGAAGGAUAUCCAGGUGAUACAUAGAUAUAAAGGGCUGGAUGAAGGAUAUCCAGGUGAUACCUAGAUAUAAAGGGCUUGAUGAAGGAUAUCCAGGUGAUACCUAGAUAUAAAGGGCUGGAUGAAGGAUAUCCAGGUGAUACCUAGAUAUAAAGGGCUUGAUGAAGGAUAUCCAGGUGAUGAUGAUGAGGGAUGAUGAGGGAGGUGUAGUGAUACAUCAACAGAACUACCUCCCUGGGUUUACAAUGAAAGGGAGUUAUUCUUUACCCACCCCCAAAAAACAGAAUAAAUAAUUUCUCCAGCCUGCCUGUGUCCUGCAGUCUAGGAGAGACAUUAGAGGUAAUUUGCAGUCAACUUGCAGGUCUACUUCAUCUAAAAUAUUACGAAAGAGCUUCUCAGCAGGACCCAUAACCUCCUUUUGUUAUUUUCGGCAGCGGUCUCUGUUGGUGCCUCUACCUCGUACCCCAGUCCCCCUCAGGACCAGAUACAGGAUGUUGUGACAGCGGUCUCUGUUGGUGCCUCUACCUCGUACCCCAGUCCCCCUCAGGACCAGAUACAGGAUGUUGUGACAGCGGUCUCUGUUGGUGCCUCUACCUCGUACCCCAGUCCCCCUCAGGACCAGAUACAGGAUGUUGUGACAGCGGUCUCUGUUGGUGCCUCUACCUCGUACCCCAGUCCCCCUCAGGACCAGAUACAGGAUGUUGUACACUUGUUUUGCUUAAGGCUGGGACUGGCACGACUAGGAGCCCUGGGUGCCUGAGAGCUGGCAUUGGCUAGUUGGCCCGACUCGCCUGCCCAGCACACCCAGCCCGC